rnacentral:sRNA from 1 species
CCAAAAAACCUAACAAAAACCAAAAUGUUUAAUAUAUAACAAAAAUUCUUCUAAGCAUAUUCUUUAAUUCUAGACGAGGCAAUUUGGAAGCACUGAUUUGAACAUAACAAAAUAACAGCAGCCCUCGCGCCAAUACAGGCACAUUAAGUUUAACUAUAAAUGACUUUUAGCGGAUUAGAUUUUAACAUAAUGAGUUUAUAAACAGGCCAGACCUAAAACAAAUAGCUUUCGAAUAACGUUGGUCAAACCGACCCGUUUUCUUUUGUUGUUGUUUCUUGAGCAAAGGAGGACGAGGAGGAGAAGAAGGAGAAGAUGACUGUAAGUUGGAUCAACUUUUCAAUUGCUUAUGGAUCUUUUCUGACUUUCUUUGAUCGUUUUUUUGUCCCGAGUAGUUAACGAUUCUGGUUGAAAACGGGAAUGGAGCGAAGAACGCUGAGAAAUUUUUUAGGUUUU